UGUAUUUAAAGUAGUUUUAUCUACCCAGUUUCUAAACAAUCUGAACAAUUGUGGAAUAUAUUUUAUAACCAUUAUGUUUUACACCAACCUAAUUGACAUUUAGAUAUAAAAUAUAAAAAAAAUAUCUAUUAGUGAUUAGACAUUUUGGAAGUUGUCACUUCAACAUUUGUGAAUAAACAACUAAUGUAGCCCUCUGUUUCUAGGUUUGGGAGAAUGUGUCGCAUCUAAAUUUUAUUGAAGUGGGUAUUAGCCAAACAGCCGAUAUGGACAUUUUCUUUGUCUCCAUGGUGUGUGGAGGACAGCGAGACUCCAGCCAAGCUGCGACGGCAAAGUGUCUACAGUGAUGAUGGUGUCUGGUUAAGUGCUUGGAUGUACUCAGAGGUACUGGGAAGCAGUGAUUCAGCCAGUUCCAUCCAGGGGUUAAAAAGUUAGCUGGAAGUCCUUUUGUGACGGACCGCACGCACAUUUUCAUGCUCAAAACAGUUCCAGAGAUUCAGGCUGUGCGGCCGGUCUAUUUCCCAUGUUAAAUUCAGUUCAAACAGACGAACGACAACCAUUCGAAUUGACACUGGGGACACUGGGGGCACUCUGUCAGGGUGCCAGGCGGUCCGUCACAAAUACAUAAAGUGAUUCCAUGCACAUUUGAAGCAAUCUCUCAAGUGUUGUUACUCCUGUGUCUGUCUCCCUCCAAGUCAACUGUGCUACCAUCAGCUCCACCACGCAGGCUCGCUGCCUAGGUGUUCUCUUUGACUCUGACCUCUCCUUCAAGCCUCAUGUUCAGUCUGUCGACAAAUCCUGUUGUUUCCAUCUCAAAAAUAUUGCGCGCAUCCGACCCUACUUAAUGCCAGAUGCGACUAAGGUGCUGGUCCAUUCCACUGUCCUUUCUCACCUUGACUACUGUAAUCCGCUUCUCAGUGGUCUUACGUGCUCCCAAAUUGCGCCGUUACAAUCCAUAAUGAAUGCGGCAGCAAGGCUCAUCUUCCUGUCUGCCCGCACCUCCCACGCCUCACCCUUCUGUCAGUCCCUACAUUGGCUUCCUGUAAAAUAUAGGGCUCAAUUUAAAAUAAUGUUUCUUGCUUUCAGAUCUCUACAUAAUGCUGCUGCCACCUAUCUAUCCUUCAUAAUACACAAGUAUGUCCCGUCUAGGCCCUUACGAUCUGCUGAAGACUUACGUCUAUCUUCUGUCCGUACUCCCACCUCUGAUGCUCGCCUUCAAGACUUCUCGAGGGCUGCAACGUACCUGUGGAACUCACUUCCCUCCUCCGUUAGACACUCACCCAGCCUCCACUCCUUCAAAAAAAUCAUUAAAAACCCACUUCAUAAAAGCGUAUCAAUUAAACUGUUAGAAGUCUUGUUUUAUAUGCCUGUUCUUUGUGGUUAACGCAUAUCGUAACUGUGGCUGUUGCUUCCCAUAUGGACGGCCAGUCCAAUAGGUCCUCCGAGGGGCCUAGAUCACUCAACUGAUUCCUCUUUUGCAACUGUCACUAGUCUAAUACUAUCCUUACCUUUUGUGUCACUUUACCCCACUCCCUCUAGCAUGUAAGCUCAUUGAGCAGGGCCCUCAACCCUCUGUUCCUGUGUGUCCAGCUUGUCUGGUUACAACUACAUGUCCGUUCGUCCACCCAUUGUAAAGCGCUGCAGUAUUUGACGGCGCUAUAUAAAUAAUAACAAUAAUAAUAAUAAUAAUAAUAAUUAGUGGUUACAUGUGUCAAUCCAUGUCUUGACUUAUUAAGAAACAAAACAUAAUAUAAUGCAGCAUAACAGAAUAAUAUGAACAGAAACUGGGGUGUACAGUCUAUGUUUAUGCUGUAUUGUGGGGGUGUCUUUCCAUGUCUUCUUGGUAUUUUCGUUUUUGUUUUUUGCUCCCAUUUGGGGAUUGUAGGUAAGUGCGAUUUGUGGAUGUUAUUGUGGUGGCUAGGUUCCUACAUGGGAUAUGGGAUGUGAGGGCCUGACUAGUCCUAUACAGUGGUUGGGGUAUGAGUUGCAAGAGUGAAUUAAACUGCUGAAUGUACAAAUUGGAGGUGUUGUGGUGCGGUUGGCAGAGAGAGAAGGGUUAAAGGGUCAGUGAAGGGGGGUGACUGAAACGGAAAAUUAUCGCUAAUAUACUGAGGAUUUUAUUAAUUGUUCCAAAUAUCUAAAUUAAUACCAGAUAUGGUAUUAACUGGUAUAUCUUAAUAAUUUAGAUGUUGCUCCCAAAGUACAAAUGAAAUAGAGUCUACUCACCAUGUGGGCUAUUCCAAAAUGGAGUUAGUCACAUGUGGCAUGCAUCACAAUGGGAGUCAAAUAACACUCUCCUGAAAGUAUUACCCAAAAAACAAACAAAAAGAAUGUACACUCGAAGAGAUAUGAUUUAACAAUUAAUAUUCAAACUGACACACAUCUUGGUAGUUGUGUAAAAGAUAUAUAAUGUUUAAUAUACAUGCAUAAAGAAACAAUAUAUACACAUAUAUAAAACAGUUGUCAAAUAGUAUAUACUUUAACUAACAAUGCAAUACUACAACAAUCUUAACUGCAAUAAUCUCACAAUGCUAAAUACACAUCAGCCAUUGUAUAAUAAAAAUGAUUUUGCCCUACCAAAAUGUUAUCCAAAAAAUAUGAUUUUCCGUUUAAUUCAGCCAGUUCCAUCCAGGGGUUAAAAAGUUAGCUGGAAGUCCUUUUGUGACGGACCGCACGCACAUUUUCAUGCUCAAAACAGUUCCAGAGAUUCAGGCUGUGCGGCCGGUCUAUUUCCCAUGUUAAAUUCAGUUCAAACAGACGAACGACAACCAUUCGAAUUGACACUGGGGACACUGGGGGCACUCUGUCAGGGUGCCAGGCGGUCCGUCACAAAUACAUAAAGUGAUUCCAUGCACAUUUGAAGCAAUCUCUCAAGUGUUGUUACUCCUGUGUCUGUCUCCCUCCAAGUCAACUGUGCUACCAUCAGCUCCACCACGCAGGCUCGCUGCCUAGGUGUUCUCUUUGACUCUGACCUCUCCUUCAAGCCUCAUGUUCAGUCUGUCGACAAAUCCUGUUGUUUCCAUCUCAAAAAUAUUGCGCGCAUCCGACCCUACUUAAUGCCAGAUGCGACUAAGGUGCUGGUCCAUUCCACUGUCCUUUCUCACCUUGACUACUGUAAUCCGCUUCUCAGUGGUCUUACGUGCUCCCAAAUUGCGCCGUUACAAUCCAUAAUGAAUGCGGCAGCAAGGCUCAUCUUCCUGUCUGCCCGCACCUCCCACGCCUCACCCUUCUGUCAGUCCCUACAUUGGCUUCCUGUAAAAUAUAGGGCUCAAUUUAAAAUAAUGUUUCUUGCUUUCAGAUCUCUACAUAAUGCUGCUGCCACCUAUCUAUCCUUCAUAAUACACAAGUAUGUCCCGUCUAGGCCCUUACGAUCUGCUGAAGACUUACGUCUAUCUUCUGUCCGUACUCCCACCUCUGAUGCUCGCCUUCAAGACUUCUCGAGGGCUGCAACGUACCUGUGGAACUCACUUCCCUCCUCCGUUAGACACUCACCCAGCCUCCACUCCUUCAAAAAAAUCAUUAAAAACCCACUUCAUAAAAGCGUAUCAAUUAAACUGUUAGAAGUCUUGUUUUAUAUGCCUGUUCUUUGUGGUUAACGCAUAUCGUAACUGUGGCUGUUGCUUCCCAUAUGGACGGCCAGUCCAAUAGGUCCUCCGAGGGGCCUAGAUCACUCAACUGAUUCCUCUUUUGCAACUGUCACUAGUCUAAUACUAUCCUUACCUUUUGUGUCACUUUACCCCACUCCCUCUAGCAUGUAAGCUCAUUGAGCAGGGCCCUCAACCCUCUGUUCCUGUGUGUCCAGCUUGUCUGGUUACAACUACAUGUCCGUUCGUCCACCCAUUGUAAAGCGCUGCAGUAUUUGACGGCGCUAUAUAAAUAAUAACAAUAAUAAUAAUAAUAAUAAUAAUUAGUGGUUACAUGUGUCAAUCCAUGUCUUGACUUAUUAAGAAACAAAACAUAAUAUAAUGCAGCAUAACAGAAUAAUAUGAACAGAAACUGGGGUGUACAGUCUAUGUUUAUGCUGUAUUGUGGGGGUGUCUUUCCAUGUCUUCUUGGUAUUUUCGUUUUUGUUUUUUGCUCCCAUUUGGGGAUUGUAGGUAAGUGCGAUUUGUGGAUGUUAUUGUGGUGGCUAGGUUCCUACAUGGGAUAUGGGAUGUGAGGGCCUGACUAGUCCUAUACAGUGGUUGGGGUAUGAGUUGCAAGAGUGAAUUAAACUGCUGAAUGUACAAAUUGGAGGUGUUGUGAUGCGGUUGGCAGAGAGAGAAGGGUUAAAGGGUCAGUGAAGGGGGGUGACUGAAACGGAAAAUUAUCGCUAAUAUACUGAGGAUUUUAUUAAUUGUUCCAAAUAUCUAAAUUAAUACCAGAUAUGGUAUUAACUGGUAUAUCUUAAUAAUUUAGAUGUUGCUCCCAAAGUACAAAUGAAAUAGAGUCUACUCACCAUGUGGGCUAUUCCAAAAUGGAGUUAGUCACAUGUGGCAUGCAUCACAAUGGGAGUCAAAUAACACUCUCCUGAAAGUAUUACCCAAAAAACAAACAAAAAGAAUGUACACUCGAAGAGAUAUGAUUUAACAAUUAAUAUUCAAACUGACACACAUCUUGGUAGUUGUGUAAAAGAUAUAUAAUGUUUAAUAUACAUGCAUAAAGAAACAAUAUAUACACAUAUAUAAAACAGUUGUCAAAUAGUAUAUACUUUAACUAACAAUGCAAUACUACAACAAUCUUAACUGCAAUAAUCUCACAAUGCUAAAUACACAUCAGCCAUUGUAUAAUAAAAAUGAUUUUGCCCUACCAAAAUGUUAUCCAAAAAAUAUGAUUUUCCGUUUAAUCAAACCACCAAAUAAUAAUUGAUUAAACUAAAAUGAAACUAAACUAAAAUGAGACUAAAAUAAAACUAAACUUAAAAAUAAAAACAGCGAUACAAAUACUUAUCAGUUGCCAGCUGCAAGAUGUUCAAUGCUCGGCCUGGAAAAAGAAUGGUUCCCUUCCAGCACGUGGCUUCACCUUAUAAAGGGACUGAGCAUGUGACUUUCCUUACCCAAUCCCUGUGUGCCAUUGAAUGGGGAGGAGUCAGGCAUCCAUCUUGGCCGCAUGGCUCAGACAAAGAAAGUCUCCAAAAAGGUGCUCACUACUCCCCCUAAUGGUACAAUUCUAAAAUGGCACUCAACAUAAUAAACUGUAUUAAGUGAUUUCUAAUGAAUAAGACCAUAAUAAACCCGUGUCCAUUACAGGGACCCAAGAUAGGAUUACAAGAAAGAAAAGGGAGAAAGAAGGAUUUCGGGAAGAGUAAGAGAAAAAGGAGGAGGAAAAAAAGGGGAGUGGUGAUGGUGCAUAGCGGGAGGGGUGAGUUAGGGCAGGUUGAGGAAAGUACCAAGAGCCAUGGGUCCCAUAUUUUGUCAAAAUGUUUAAUUGUGUCAUGGAUUAGUGCUGAAUGCCUGUCCAUUUUUCUGGUCUCUUUUUGCUUUUUACAUCUUUUUACAUCUCCUAGGGUUGGGAUUUUGAUUAAACCCCAAUUUUCUGCUAUGGCCCUUCUAGUUGAUAACACUAUUUUUGUUAUUAGCUUGUUUUGGUCUCUGGGAAUAUCUCAGUAGGGAUUGGAGAGCAGACAUAUCCAUGGGUCUUUCGGAAUUUUUGUAUGUAGGAUCUUUGAAGCGAACUGUGUGAUUUCACGCCACAGUUGGGCAAUUUGGUUACAUUCCCACAAUAGGUGGAAGUAGGUGCCAUUUUGUCUGCAUCCCUUCCAACAGUGGUCAGAGAUGGUGCUGCCCCUUUGUUUAACACAUCAGUGUUUUAUAUGCCUGUUCUUUGUGGUUAACGCAUAUCGUAACCGUGGCUGUUGUUUCCCAUAUGGACAGCCAGUCCAAUGGGUCCUCCAAGGGGCCUAGAUCACUCUCCAAAGCUGAGACAGGUUAAUGAAGCUUCAACAGGUUUUGGGGUCAGAAGAGUGUAAAUAUCUAGCCUCUCUGCACUGGCAUUGUAUAGAUGCUUUUUUGAAAGUCGUUAAGGUUGUUGUGCCGUAUUUGUAUUGUAUAAUAAAAAUGAUUUUGCCCUACCAAAAUGUUAUCCAAAAAAUAUGAUUUUCCGUUUAAUCAAACCACCAAAUAAUAAUUGAUUAAACUAAAAUGAAACUAAACUAAAAUGAGACUAAAAUAAAACUAAACUUAAAAAUAAAAACAGCGAUACAAAUACUUAUCAGUUGCCAGCUGCAAGAUGUUCAAUGCUCGGCCUGGAAAAAGAAUGGUUCCCUUCCAGCACGUGGCUUCACCUUAUAAAGGGACUGAGCAUGUGACUUUCCUUACCCAAUCCCUGUGUGCCAUUGAAUGGGGAGGAGUCAGGCAUCCAUCUUGGCCGCAUGGCUCAGACAAAGAAAGUCUCCAAAAAGGUGCUCACUACUCCCCCUAAUGGUACAAUUCUAAAAUGGCACUCAACAUAAUAAACUGUAUUAAGUGAUUUCUAAUGAAUAAGACCAUAAUAAACCCGUGUCCAUUACAGGGACCCAAGAUAGGAUUACAAGAAAGAAAAGGGAGAAAGAAGGAUUUCGGGAAGAGUAAGACAAAAAGGAGGAGGAAAAAAAGGGGAGUGGUGAUGGUGCAUAGCGGGAGGGGUGAGCUAGGGCAGGUUGAGGAAAGUACCAAGAGCCAUGGGUCCCAUAUUUUGUCAAAAUGUUUAAUUGUGUCAUGGAUUAGUGCUGAAUGCCUGUCCAUUUUUCUGGUCUCUUUUUGCUUUUUACAUCUUUUUACAUCUCCUAGGGUUGGGAUUUUGAUUAAACCCCAAUUUUCUGCUAUGGCCCUUCUAGUUGAUAACACUAUUUUUGUUAUUAGCUUGUUUUGGUCUCUGGGAAUAUCUCAGUAGGGAUUGGAGAGCAGACAUAUCCAUGGGUCUUUCGGAAUUUUUGUAUGUAGGAUCUUUGAAGCGAACUGUGUGAUUUCACGCCACAGUUGGGCAAUUUGGUUACAUUCCCACAAUAGGUGGAAGUAGGUGCCAUUUUGUCUGCAUCCCUUCCAACAGUGGUCAGAGAUGGUGCUGCCCCUUUGUUUAACACAUCAGUGUUUUAUAUGCCUGUUCUUUGUGGUUAACGCAUAUCGUAACCGUGGCUGUUGUUUCCCAUAUGGACAGCCAGUCCAAUGGGUCCUCCAAGGGGCCUAGAUCACUCUCCAAAGCUGAGACAGGUUAAUGAAGCUUCAACAGGUUUUGGGGUCAGAAGAGUGUAAAUAUCUAGCCUCUCUGCACUGGCAUUGUAUAGAUGCUUUUUUGAAAGUCGUUAAGGUUGUUGUGCCGUAUUUGUAUUGUAUAAUAAAAAUGAUUUUGCCCUACCAAAAUGUUAUCCAAAAAAUAUGAUUUUCCGUUUAAUCAAACCACCAAAUAAUAAUUGAUUAAACUAAAAUGAAACUAAACUAAAAUGAGACUAAAAUAAAACUAAACUUAAAAAUAAAAACAGCGAUACAAAUACUUAUCAGUUGCCAGCUGCAAGAUGUUCAAUGCUCGGCCUGGAAAAAGAAUGGUUCCCUUCCAGCACGUGGCUUCACCUUAUAAAGGGACUGAGCAUGUGACUUUCCUUACCCAAUCCCUGUGUGCCAUUGAAUGGGGAGGAGUCAGGCAUCCAUCUUGGCCGCAUGGCUCAGACAAAGAAAGUCUCCAAAAAGGUGCUCACUACUCCCCCUAAUGGUACAAUUCUAAAAUGGCACUCAACAUAAUAAACUGUAUUAAGUGAUUUCUAAUGAAUAAGACCAUAAUAAACCUGUGUCCAUUACAGGGACCCAAGAUAGGAUUACAAGAAAGAAAAGGGAGAAAGAAGGAUUUCGGGAAGAGUAAGAAAAAAAGGAGGAGGAAAAAAAGGGGAGUGGUGAUGGUGCAUAGCGGGAGGGGUGAGUUAGGGCAGGUUGAGGAAAGUACCAAGAGCCAUGGGUCCCAUAUUUUGUCAAAAUGUUUAAUUGUGUCAUGGAUUAGUGCUGAAUGCCUGUCCAUUUUUCUGGUCUCUUUUUGCUUUUUACAUCUUUUUACAUCUCCUAGGGUUGGGAUUUUGAUUAAACCCCAAUUUUCUGCUAUGGCCCUUCUAGUUGAUAACACUAUUUUUGUUAUUAGCUUGUUUUGGUCUCUGGGAAUAUCUCAGUAGGGAUUGGAGAGCAGACAUAUCCAUGGGUCUUUCGGAAUUUUUGUAUGUAGGAUCUUUGAAGCGAACUGUGUGAUUUCACGCCACAGUUGGGCAAUUUGGUUACAUUCCCACAAUAGGUGGAAGUAGGUGCCAUUUUGUCUGCAUCCCUUCCAACAGUGGUCAGAGAUGGUGCUGCCCCUUUGUUUAACACAUCAGUGUUUUAUAUGCCUGUUCUUUGUGGUUAACGCAUAUCGUAACCGUGGCUGUUGUUUCCCAUAUGGACAGCCAGUCCAAUGGGUCCUCCAAGGGGCCUAGAUCACUCUCCAAAGCUGAGACAGGUUAAUGAAGCUUCAACAGGUUUUGGGGUCAGAAGAGUGUAAAUAUCUAGCCUCUCUGCACUGGCAUUGUAUAGAUGCUUUUUUGAAAGUCGUUAAGGUUGUUGUGCCGUAUUUGUAUGUAUUGUAAGUAAUCAAAUGUAUUGAAGGGUGUUUUUUGGGGUAGGUCUGUGAAGAGUUCAUUCUCUUCAAAACGCGCAAAAUGAUGAGGGUUCACCAGGGACGUUAAUAUUCAAGGUUUUGUUUCUAGCAGUUCCUCUGCAAACUGGCUAGGAGCGAGUUGGGAAUAUAUCUUGAGGGACUCCUCUUCUAGUGUACUCCUCAGUUUAUUGUUUUUAUUAUUUCUUAAUGCUUCUGUGUAAUUGCCUUGAAUUUAUAACUACUCGAAAUUCCAUGAAGCCUUGUCUAGUCUACAUUCGCUCACCAGAUUGUAGUACUCUUACAGGGUUAUUCACUAGAGUGAGAAUUAAAGAGAAUUCAAAAUUAAUUUAAAAUUUAAACACACUGAAUCCACUAUACACACACACACACACACACACACACAAUACAUUCACUACACACAGACACUGCAUCUACUACACACACAGCAUUCACUACCCAAACACACACUCUGCAUCUACUAUACACACACACACACACACACCUAAUGAAUUCACUACAAACACUGCAUCCACUCCACACACACACACUUCAUAAUGGAAUUUUGAGUGUUUUGGGGGGAAGCAUUUCAUCCUUGGACCCAGGCAGACAAUGUCUUGGCCUGGCCCACAUAAAGAAAUAAAAACAAUUAACUGUUUGUCUUAGCAGCAGCCCCCUGGUAAUUAAAGCCUUAGAAUUUAAUAUCUAUAUCUAUAUCUUAUCCUUAAAGUUGGAUAACUAUUUUUGAUGCAAGCUUUGUUUCCAUUUAUUUAUUCAUACAUGAUUCUUUUCCUUUCAUAUGACAAUUCUAAACUGUUGUAUGGAAAAACUCAAUAAAAACAUUACCUAAAAAAAAUAAUAAUAAUAAUUUCCACAAGCUGUAUUUAAAGUAGUUUUAUCUACCCAGUUUCUAAACAAUCUGAACAAUUGUGGAAUAUAUUUUAUAACCAUUAUGUUUUACACCAACCUAAUUGACAUUUAGAUAUAAAAUAUAAAAAAAAUAUCUAUUAGUGAUUAGACAUUUUGGAAGUUGUCACUUCAACAUUUGUGAAUAAACAACUAAUGUAGCCCUCUGUUUCUAGGUUUGGGAGAAUGUGUCGCAUCUAAAUUUUAUUGAAGUGGGUAUUAGCCAAACAGCCGAUAUGGACAUUUUCUUUGUCUCUGGUCUGCAUAACGAUGGCUCUAAGAAUGCUUUUGAUGGUCCAGGUCGUGUUUUGGGCCAUGCAUUCAUGCCUCCAAUGAGUAAAAAGAAGGACAUAGACGGGGACCUACAUCUGGAUAAUGAUGAGAAAUGGACAAUUAAUGAGAAGAAAGGU
rnacentral:lncRNA from 1 species